rnacentral:rRNA from 1 species
GGAAGUGGGAUGACGUCAAGUCCUCAUGGCCUUAUGCUUAGGGCUACACACGUGCUACGAAUGGUGGUCAAAGAGAAGCCAACUCGCGAGAGCGCGCCAAUCUCAAAAAGCCAUACCUCAGUUCGGAUUGGAGUCUGCAACUCGACUCCAUGAAGUUGGAAUCGCUAGUAAUCGCGGAUACAGCAUGCCGCGUCGAUACCGUUCCGGCCUU